GAUGAACGCUGGCGGCGUGCCUAAUACAUGCAAGUCGAGCGAACAGACGAGGAGCUUGCUCCUCUGACGUUAGCGGCGGACGGGUGAGUAACACGUGGAUAACCUACCUAUAAGACUGGGAUAACUUCGGGAAACCGGAGCUAAUACCGGAUAAUAUAUUGAACCGCAUGGUUCAAUAGUGAAAGACGGUUUUGCUGUCGCUUAUAGAUGGAUCCGCGCUGCAUUAGCUAGUUGGUAAGGUAACGGCUUACCAAGGCAACGAUGCGUAGCCGACCUGAGAGGGUGAUCGGCCACACUGGAACUGAGACACGGUCCAGACUCCUACGGGAGGCAGCAGUAGGGAAUCUUCCGCAAUGGGCGAAAGCCUGACGGAGCAACGCCGCGUGAGUGAUGAAGGUCUUCGGAUCGUAAAACUCUGUUAUUAGGGAAGAACAAAUGUGUAAGUAACUAUGCACGUCUUGACGGUACCUAAUCAGAAAGCCACGGCUAACUACGUG
rnacentral:rRNA from 1 species